AGCAUGGCUACCCGCUCCACUAUUCUUGCCUGGAGAAUCCUACGGACAGAGGAACCUGGCAGGCUGCAGUUCGUGGAAUCACAGAGUUGGACAUGACUGAGCACACACGCACACACUGCUUUUGUCUCAUUUGUUCUUAUGGUCCUCUAGAUGCAUUUUAUGACUUUUCAAAUUUUGGUAUUUCAAUAGACUUUUCUUGUUUUUGUUAUGUUGUCUUUGUUAUCUUCAUCUCAAAAUGCUUAUGAGAUGAAUAAAUUUGCAGUCAGCCCUGCUUGCAGAACUUGUCAUUUGUGAAACUGUGUUAUUAAGGAAUUCUGGAUAAUUAGUACGGAAGGUAGUCAUUUCAAGAAAUAUAAGACAUAUUCAGCUCAAGCUACUAAAUCAUUAUGUUUGGGCUUUUAUCAUGUCACUAAGCCCAAGAUUUCCUGUGAAAAUCAGCCAACGUCAAAAUAUACAAGCUUCUAAAAUUUUCUAGUACAGAUUCUAGAAAGAUAGAAUUAAUUUUUCAGUUUCCUCCUCUCCUACCCCCGCCCCACCUCACCUGGGAUUAGUGUAUAGUUAACUUGACUCUGUAAAUUUACUGCCAGUAAAAACUAACAAGAGUAUCUGCAUUGAAAUAGUUGUCUUGUGAUAUCACUUCUUAAAUAUAAUAAAUGCAACAGAUAUGAUGCAUAGCUUAUGCAUACUCUUUGCAUAGAGGUGAACAAGAGAUUUACCAUUUGGCAUAAGAUAUUUACAUCUGCUCAUCAAAAUAUGACUCCUUUUGUAGUCUUCUAAAGCCAUGCCUAUAAUAUACAUUAUUAUGGUAAUUUAAAAAAUGGAACAUAGAGUAGAAAAAAGAACAUGAUAAAUGCAUAUCAUCUUACUCUUUAUAGCUCCAGUAAAUUUUGUACCUUAGGCUAGACUGAAUACAUUUUGAGUUUCUCAUGCAACAAUCAUUUUGGAAAUGCGUCAGUCAACAGGCUUCCUUUACUCAUUAUUAUUUAGCCUAAAGAUCUGAGGAUCUGUUUUUAUUCUGCUAUCAAUUUAUUUCUAAGAAAUGUCCCUGCCUUUACCUUCUUGAAUGAAAAUUCCUUUCUUCCCAUUUAUAACGAUUGUAAAGCUAGACCCCUUUCCACCCUCGUUUCACCAACUAUUUUCAAGGGUCCCACAUUUCUUUUUCCACAGGAUGCAUUCCUCUACAAAUUAGCAUAACAGAUAUUUCUGAAACAGCAGCUGAGCCUCUAUAAAAGUAUUUUUCUCCUCUCUCAAAGUGUAGGAUAGAUAAUAUUUUUCAGGUUUCUUUUCUUUUUUAUGAUUUUCUAAGCAUUAAAUCCUUUAGUUCAAAUCCUGGAAAAAAUAACAGGGAAAGCAUGUGUUGAAUUACACAAAGGGCAUUCAACCUGGUUUCGACCUCAGUAGGAACAGUUGCAGCUUAGCUGUCCACUAUCCUUCCCUGUAAAGGUGAAAUGAUUUAGAGGCCUAGAGAAACUUAAUUUUUCUUGAUCACCAUGUGCAACCCGGAAUUUUAAUGGCAGGCAUAAUUAAUUCUUCUGAUGUUAAUCAUCAGGGCUGGGCUCCACAAUUAUCAGUCUGGUGCAGCUGGGGCAUGGUGCAGACAUGAAAAAUUAGGAAAAUGAAUCAGUAAUAGGGUGGCAGAUUUAAUCUGCAUCAUGAAAACAAAGUUAAAAAGAGGAAGAUCGAGAGAAUUUCAGCUGAAGCUUUUGUGCCAAUGCGCAGUGACAGAACUGAAAAAUGUUGCCGAUGUCCAAAGUGAUUGGUAAUUACCAAGCCAUUGAAUUUUUUAUUGUCAAUUUAUCAUGCGCCAGAGGUUAAAUUUAACAUCUUCUUCUAAAGCCAUCACUCUAAGAAGGCUCACUGCGCAUCACGUGGCUCAGAGUCAGCGAAAGGUUAAUCAGGAUUCUAGGCAACAGCCACCACCUGCUGCAGUUGCAAGAAGAAAAGAUCAAAGGACAGAAGUUUCAGAAAGCCUGUCUUGUGAGUGUUCAGGCAUAAGCCAUGUAGGUUAUCAAGAUGCAAGCAAAAAACUAAGGCACAAGUGGAGAGAUAACUGACCCAUAUCGCUCACGUUUUCUUCAGAGAGACUGAAUUAAGUGACAAAGUUGUGGUAAGGUCAGAAUUCAGUGGCUUGAACUUUAUCAAGAAAGGUUCUCAGAAUGAUCCAGGAUUGCACUACUUCAGAGCGGGGUCUUACCAGCGAGCAGCGAGUAGAGUCACACAGAUACGACUGGAUGAAGAUCUGGUCCUAAGACAGCCCUGUGUUGGAGUUCUCCCGCCUUCCGACCUCCAACAGUCCACCUUGAGAUUUCACUGUGUGUCCCACACUGGAGCCCUCGCUUAACUUUGUCUUUGGGCUGGCAUCACCAUCUCUCUCCAACUCCAGACCAUUGGCAAGUGGCAUUGUGUGUUCAUCCUCCUCCGUCAGAAGGAGCCUGCCACAAGCUUGGAGAGGACAAUCAGAUCAUCAGCAGCAUCACAGAAUGUACUUCUCUACCCAGCUCUCCUCCAACUUUAUGUCUCUCCAGGGAUGUCCUACAUAUUCUGCAAACCUGACCACUAGCAGACUGCCUCUAUUCCCCCUCCUGGCUGGGCUCAAACUGGGAAAACCUCUAGUUGCUGCUGCUGCUGCUAAGUCACUUCAGUCGUGUCCAAUUCUGUGCGACCCCAUAAACGGCAGCCCACCAGGCUCCCCCGUCCCUGGGAUUCUCCAGGCAAGAACACUG